UGUAUGUUUCUAAUUGCCCUUUUUAGACUUCUAAGUUGCGCUGCUAUCGACUCUUCUUCACUUGAUUGGACAUCUUUUUCCAAUCCCGCAUACCAAUCAGCCUCAUAUGGAACCUUAAGAGCCACAGAUGUUACAAAAGUAGGAGCUUCGAUAGCAUAUACAGGUGGCACAAGUAUCUCACAAGUGACAUGUGCCUCGGGUAUGUGCUGCAUCUCAGGAUAGAUGGGAAUAGUAAAGUUUUGAGUAGGGAUCAAAUAACUAGGUGCAGUCCCGAUAGUGGUUUGAAAAGUAAACAGGGCUUGAUCGUG
rnacentral:lncRNA from 1 species